UACGUAGGGACCGAGCGUUGUCCGGAAUCAUUGGGCGUAAAGAGCGUGUAGGCGGCUAUUUAAGUCCUGCGUGAAAUCCUGCGGCUCAACCGCAGACGGUCGUGGGAAACUGGAUGGCUAGAGUGCGGGAGAGGAGAGUGGAAUUCCCGGUGUAGCGGUGAAAUGCGCAGAUAUCAGGAAGAACACCGGUGGCGAAGGCGGGUCUCUGGGCCGAUACUGACGCUGAGGAGCGAAAGCGUGGGGAGCGAACAGG
rnacentral:rRNA from 1 species